AGCCCCGCCCCCGAACAGCCUGUCGGUGGGCGGCCUCCUUCCCCGCGCCACCGCGGGUUAACUCUGUCCGCCCUGGUCUCAGUCUUGCCUUCCGGUCUCCCUUGCGUAUAAAACUGGCCGUAGGCUUACCGAUGCUUUCUGUGUCCCCCUUUUCUCAGGCAGGUAGCUGGGCAGAGGGACUAGAGAGUUACAGUCGCUUAAGUUCUGUUUGCGAGAAGCAAUUUCCAUCUUUUUGCCCUUUUAAUUUGUCUCCACUUGCAUGAAGGUUCUGGCGACCUAAACGUACCCUCCUUUGACCAAAAGAGGACAGCCUUCCUACACGGAGCGCAAAGCAUUUUUCCUUUUGACCAGAACUCCCUGCUACGCACUUCCAGUUGCAUUUAACAAAAAUCAUGAAUCGUUUUAUGUUUGUCUUUGCAAACAGGAGCAUAGGUCUGUCUGCAGUCAGCUAGUCUCCUUGAACCUUAUUCACUACAUCAGAAGAUCAUAAAACAAAAGGAGCCAGGAAGUGAUGCUCAAGGUGAGGACCAGAGUUUGC